UAAAAGUCACAUGACUUGUUUAUUUUGCUGCGUUGAAUUUUACUGACAAUUGCAAAACUUCAAAUCAAACACCAAAAUAAAAAUAUACAUACAAUGCAGCUUAAAUUGAUAUUUUUGUUUAUUCUGACUUGGACAAUACUGUAAUCAAAUUGAAUCAAUAUACAUACAUAUACAUGCAUAAUUAUAAUGCUGAUUUAAUUCAACACAAAAUAAAUCAUGAAAGUACUCAAAAGUUCUUGGAAAUUCUUUCAGACAAAUGCAUGAACAUUAACACAUUUCCUUGAAAGAAAGGACUGCCUGAUUUUAUUUAAAUUACACUAUGUACGUGUAUGUACAAGGACAGUACAUACGUGAAUACACACGUCACAUGUAAUAUUGCAACAUGUGAAACUUGUAAUUGACAAAGAUACAUUGUACGGUUAUAUUCCCUUUAUGAAUUGUGACAAUCAUGUACAGUUAUAUUCCGUGUGU